rnacentral:rRNA from 1 species
GAAUGGCGUAAUGAUGGCCAGGCUGUCUCCACCCGAGACUCAGUGAAAUUGAACUCGCUGUGAAGAUGCAGUGUACCCGCGGCAAGACGGAAAGACCCCGUGAACCUUUACUAUAGCUUGACACUGAACAUUGAGCCUUGAUGUGUAGGAUAGGUGGGAGGCUUUGAAGUGUGGACGCCAGUCUGCAUGGAGCCGACCUUGAAAUACCACCCUUUAAUGUUUGAUGUUCUAACGUGGACCCGUAAUCCGGGUUGCGGACAGUGUCUGGUGGGUAGUUUGACUGGGGCGGUCUCCUCCUAAAGAGUAACGGAGGAGCACGAAGGUUGGCUAAUCCUGGUCGGACAUCAGGAGGUUAGUGCAAUGGCAUAAGCCAGCUUGACUGCGAGCGUGACGGCGCGAGCAGGUGCGAAAGCAGGUCAUAGUGAUCCGGUGGUUCUGAAUGGAAGGGCCAUCGCUCAACGGAUAAAAGGUACUCCGGGGAUAACAGGCUGAUACCGCCCAAGAGUUCAUAUCGACGGCGGUGUUUGGCACCUCGAUGUCGGCUCAUCACAUCCUGGGGCUGAAGUAGGUCCCAAGGGUAUGGCUGUUCGCCAUUUAAAGUGGUACGCGAGCUGGGUUUAGAACGUCGUGAGACAGUUCGGUCCCUAUCUGCCGUGGGCGCUGGAGAACUGAGGGGGGCUGCUCCUAGUACGAGAGGACCGGAGUGGACGCAUCACUGGUGUUCGGGUUGUCAUGCCAAUGGCACUGCCCGGUAGCUAAAUGCGGAAGAGAUAAGUGCUGAAAGCAUCUAAGCACGAAACUUGCCCCGAGAUGAGUUCUCCCUGAGACUUUAGGUCUCCUGAAGGAACGUUGAAGACGACGACGUUGAUAGGCCGGGUGUGUAAGCGCAGCGAUGCGUUGAGCUAACCGGUACUAAUGAACCGUGAGGCUUAACCUU